GCGCCUGUAGCUCAGCCGGAUAGAGCGGCGGAUUCCUAAUCCGCAGGUCGGGGGUUCGAGUCCCUCCAGGCGCACCA
rnacentral:tRNA from 3 species